GACACUAUCUGGCGCUCAGUUGCCGUCCUCGCGGUGGGAUGAGCCGUGGGUUGAGCCUGAAUUACCCCCGCCAACUCCAAGCUACAAAUUCGAUUCCAAGAAGGGGGAGAAGACUUAUCACCUCGCUAGCACUACCCCCUUAGGAGUUCUUCCGUCGAUCAGUGUACGUCGACGACUCGGUCUCAUGCCUACCGCGAAAUCUUCCACCCCGAUUCCCGCCAAGAACAACGGCACUAAAUCUGCAAAAUCAACUCCCACGGGUGACUACAGACCGGGAACUGCCUCGACUUCUGCGGAUGAGCCUGGGCCACCAGAAAGCCCAUUCAUGCAGAGUGGGUUUCCAUCCCUUCCGAAUGGAGAGAAAAGCCUAAGUCCUACGCGCUCUACAAUGGGGAACAACAGCAUAGAACCGGAGAUCGCACCCGUUAACGGUCAUCCACUUACACCGACUUUACAUCCACUUACACCGACUUUACUCUCCACACCUCCUACGUUGAAAUAUCCACAAGAAACGAUCCUAAAAGUUGUUGACGCAGCCAUCGCUCGUGCGGAGGAGCUUAAGGAUAUAAAAGUUGCCAACGGCCUAAAACAGAUCAGGGAUGCUACUGCUAAGGAUCAAUUUCUUUUCGCUGUUCUGGAGGGUGCAUUCAGCAAGGAGGCUGGCCCCCAUGAGAAAUCACGCUUCCAGACUGUCAUGCGAGAUGCGGUCAGAAAAGAUCGAAGCAAACAUUCCACCCAUGAAGCUAUUGCGAUGACACGUACCCAGUCUUCUGCUAGUACCUCGUCAUCACUCUCCUCCGCAAAAUCACUUGAUGCCGAAACCUUCGCCCCUGCAAUGACUUCCGGUCGUGCAGCCAAUUCGGUUCCUCACAAACGCAAAGGACGACGAGCGACGGGACCACACGCCAAGGGAAAGAAGCGUUCCGUUCCUGCGAGGUCUCAAUCCGUUUUCCCAUCCUUAGAAGACGCUGAUACUCGAAAACGCAAGAGAAUGGACGAUCUAGAGUACUCGGACGAAGUUCUUGCAGCUAAGCGUUUGGCGUUGAGAAAGACCUUUAACGAUUUUCCUGUCCCAGAAAGCCACAUCCGACCUUCCAGAACCCCUGUCACUAUUGAGACCGCUUCUCCCUCACCGCAGCCAGUACCUUCAACCAGCAGCAAAAGAUCAAGAGAGAUAUUCGAGUUGAGUGAAAGUGGAGACGAAGUUGAAGUUGCUCCCGCCAUUCCACAAAAACCUCCCAAGAGAACACGGAAAUCGGCAGCGCCGCCGGAUGAAAUCGAUAACAUCGAUUUUUGUCGUCUGUGUAACGGUAGUGGCCAGCUUCUGUGUUGUGACGGAUGCAUUGACUCGUUCCAUUUCGAAUGCUUGGCGCCGCCCAU
rnacentral:sRNA from 2 species